rnacentral:tRNA from 1 species
GUCAACAUAGCUUAAUUAAAGCAUAACACUGAAGAUGUUAAGAUGAACCCUAAAAAGUUCUGUGGACA